rnacentral:rRNA from 1 species
CCAAUAGCGUAUAUUAAAGUUGUUGCAGUUAAAAAGCUCGUAGUUGAACUUCGGGGUUCACCCAUUGGUCAGGCUUAAUUGUCUGUACUGGUGGGAUGAAUCUCUACCUUCUGAGGAACUUUCAUGCCAUUCGUUUGGUGUGAUGGGAAAUCAGGACUGUUACUUUGAAAAAAUUAGAGUGUUUAAAGCAGGCUAACGUCUGAAUACAUUAGCAUGGAAUAAUGAAAUAGGACGGAUUGGUUCUAUUUCGUUGGUUUCUAGGAUCACCGUAAUGAUUAAUAGGGAUAGUCGGGGGCAUUAGUAUUCAAUUGUCAGAGGUGAAAUUCUUGGAUUUAUUGAAGACUAACUACUGCGAAAGCAUUUGCCAAGGAUGUUUUCAUUAAUCAAGAACGAAAGUUAGGGGAUCGAAGACGAUCAGAUACCGUCGUAGUCUUAACCAUAAACUAUGCCGACUAGGGAUCGGACGAAGUUAAUUUUAUAAUGACGCGUUCGGCACCUUACG